UAGUGGGGUGGGGCCUCUGCCCCACGGGGACGCUGGGGGUCCCCAGCUCUUGUGACCUGGCCAGAUCCACAUGCAGCCUCUAGCUCGCCCCGGGGUAGGAGGGGAGAGGAAGGCCCAGAGCGGCCGGAGCGUCCAUCCCUCCACCCACACACCGGGACGGUGCCCGGGCGCCGGAGCUCUGAGCGCCCUGAGCCGGGAAGACAGACGCAGCGGUGACGUGGGGGAAGCAGACACCAGGCCUCCUCACAGCCUCCCCGGCCGCCUCCAGGCCCUGAAAUCACUCCGUCGUCAGCCUGCCUCUGCUCAUGGGCACACGAUUCGGUGCCGCGGUCAGACUCUGGCAGGUUAAACUUGCAGCCCGGUCCAGGGGCCUCUGACAUGAAAAUCUGCUUUCCUGUCACAGUCUCAUCGUCGUGGCCACCUGCUGAAACCGUGAAAACUUAUUUCUAAGAAGAAGGCUCAUAAAGCAAAUUACAGGUGGAGACUUGACCCUGUAUUUUGACCUUCAGGUGAUUCUCACAAAAAAGCUUAGAUGAACUUUUCCUUAAAACGUCCUCGUGGAAAAUCAUGGGCUUGGAGAACAGACUUGGGGUUGCUGAGGGGGAGGGGGAGGGAGUGGGGUGGACUGGGAGUCUGGGGUUAAGAGAUGCAAACCAUGGCCUUUGGAAAGGACAAGCCAUGAGACCCUGCUGUGCAGCACUAGGAGCUCUACCCAUCACUUACGAUGGAGCCUGACGACGUGAGAAAAAAGAAUGUCUACGUGUAUGUGUGACCAGGUCACCUUGCUGCGCAGUGGAAAAUUGACAGAACACUGUAAACCAGCCAUCAUGGAAAAAAUAAAAAUCAUUAUUAAAAAAAAUCCCCAUGGACUGUAAAGUUCACGGAGAGGGUUUUGGGCCAAGCUCGCCCGGAGGAAGGCCAAACCCAGAGCCUAAGAAGCAGCCUUGAGAGGUGAAGAGCCCCAUGGUGGCGGAAAGCCCUGACCAGCCCGCCCUGCGAGGACGCGGACCGGGAAUGUCCUGUUUUAUUGUCCUCGGAACACCUCCCUGGGCGCCUUGCAGGGCCUGGUGAGAGGGGCGGGGUGUUCUCUGCGUGUUUCCAGGAUACCCUGGAAACGCUGUGAAGCUAAUUACAGCCCUGGCUUGGAGACCCCGCGCAGGGCGGCGAGCUACCCCAGGGCGGCUUUCCCCAGCCCACGUGGACAGGUGUCCUCGUCACAGCUGAAUCGUCUCCUCCGCUGCCUCGACCCUGG
rnacentral:lncRNA from 1 species